GCCGAGAUCGCAUAACCUGGUAUUGCGCAAGCCUGGAAAGCUUGUUUCCUUUUGGAUAUCUGGGUUCAAAUCCCAGUCUCGGCG
rnacentral:tRNA from 1 species